UAAAUGACUCUCGGCAACGGAUAUCUCGGCUCACGCAUCGAUGAAGAACGUAGCAAAAUGCGAUACUUGGUGUGAAUUGCAGAAUCCCGUGAACCAUCGAGUUUUUGAACGCAAGUUGCGCCCGAAGCCAUUCGGCCGAGGGCACGUCUGCCUGGGCGUCACAC
rnacentral:rRNA from 2 species